GGCUGUGCUAUGCUGUGCUGUGAGCUCACAAGGCCUGGCUGCGACGCUGUCCUGUGCUGCAGGCUUCGCUCUGUGAAACACUCACUGUGGCUGCAGCGGUGGUAGUGGAAGCAUGGUGCAAGUGUGGGGGGCCAUGGCCCCUACCCGCCUUGUCCUCUUCCUCCUACUGAUGGCCAUGUGUUUCUGGGUGACCUGUGCUGCUCCAUGGCGAGCACCGGGAGCAGGUGGGUGGGCAGAGAUGGGACCCAAACUGAGCAGCACUGAGGGCAAGAAGUCAGGCUGUGUCCCCACGGCCCUGUGCCACACUUCCCUGGGGCCUGCCUUCCAUGGGGGUGGUGUUGGGCAGAGGGUGAUGGGCAGCACCACAGGAGCCGGGUAAGAGCCCAUGGCGGAACUGCUCCGCAGGGCUGGCUCCAGCCAUGCCAGGCCAUGGCUCUGCUGCUUGCUGGCUGGAGCACAGCCUUCAUCCUGGGAGAUGUCCUGGGGAGAGCUCAGAAGAUGCAUGCUGGUAAAAGAGUGAGCAUUUCUGCUCCAGGCUCAUGGUAUUCCGCAUAGAUGAAUCCCAGUUUCCAACACAGAGCCCCGGCCCACAGCCCAGAGGAAGAGACAGACAUGCUUUCCUCCAGUGCUUCAGUGUGACCUUCCUGUACAUCAGAGGCCUCCCAAUAAGAAAGCCCCGAGAGGCUGUAUCUUCUUCCAUGCGGUCUGUGAGGGAUGUGGCACAUGGCCUGGAGAGAGUAUUGUGUACGCUGCCAGGUGCCAGCCUACAGGUCAUCCUGGACACCCUGCAAUUUUCAAAAUCAUGACCUGAGUCCUUCUCCCAUCCCGUUCCACGACCCACAUCCAGUUACUGAGAGAGAAAGAGAUCACACCAUGCAAUGGGAACUUCUCUCAUCUGUUCUUGAUUCUAGAUGAUGAGCUCAGUGCUCCCUUUCCAGGAGAUCCUUUGGAUCCAGAUUCUGUGCGUGUGCCCGUGGGACAACCCAGAGGCCCUGCUGGUGAAUCAGCAGAAUGGAAUCCUGUCUAUGAGCCUGAGGGGGAUGCUGGAGAUGUGACUGGAGGAGGUGAUCCAGGUUCCCCUCUAGGUUCUGGGACUGAAACUCCAGCAGAUCACAUGGGUAUGUCAUGGCUUUGUAAUUCCUUAGAGAGCUUUCAUUGCCCAUUUCAGAGCCAUUUCAUGGCACGAUCUCCCGUAUGCUCCACUAUUCAGUGAUGCUGUAGUGUAUGACUGAAACUUUUCAUGGGUCUUUGGUUUGCAGAAGUGCCCCCAGGGAAGGCCUUGCCUGAUCCUUGGUUUCCUCGUGCACUGGAGCCCUGCUGGAAUCCCAGCAGGAGUAGUUUGUCUUUACUGACUCCACUGACUCACCACGGGUCUUAGAAUCCUCAUGCACGUGAUAUUUAACUUCAUACAUUCUGUCUAGGUCCAGAAGGAGGAAAAGAUGAAUCCAAAAGAGUAGAAUACUCCCAGGGCUCAUCCCAUCUCCUAAACGAACUGCUGAAGGAAAUGGAGAAGGCAGCGCGUGGUGGGUAUACUUCGGUCUGUUCACUGUGAGACUUGGGAAGCUGAGGUCUGAUAUAUGUGUGGAUAAGCUGUAGCCUGCACAGCAGGAAGGGAUCUCUCAGAGCCGUGCUGUGGUGGUGUUCCGUGUAACACCUUGCAGGCACUGUCAAGCACCAGAGAUGGUCUGCUGCCACUUCUGCAUCCAGCCAAGACCCAGAGGCAGCUGCUCCCCCAGCAUGACCGUAACUUGUCAGAGCUGCUUUGUGCAGACAUUGGCAGCCUGGUGGCAGCGAGUGACGAGUGCUGUGCUUCUGUUCAUACAAAGCCCUCUCUGCUGCUGAG
ensembl:lncRNA